AACGAACGCUGGCGGCAUGCCUAACACAUGCCAGUCGAACGAGACCUUCGGGUCUAGUGGCGCACGGGUGCGUAACGCGUGGGAACCUGCCCUUAGGUUCGGAAUAACUCCCCGAAAGGGGUGCUAAUACCGGAUAAUGUCUUCGGACCAAAGAUUUAUCGCCUUUGGAUGGGCCCGCGUUGGAUUAGCUAGUUGGUAGGGUAAAAGCCUACCAAGGCGACGAUCCAUAGCUGGUCUGAGAGGAUGAUCAGCCACACUGGGACUGAGACACGGCCUAGACUCCUACGGGAGGCAGCAGUGGGGAAUAUUGGACAAUGGGCGAAAGCCUGAUCCAGCAAUGCCGCGUGAGUGAUGAAGGCCUUAGGGUUGUAAAGCUCUUUUACCCGGGAUGAUAAUGACAGUACCGGGAGAAUAAGCUCCGGCUAACUCCGUG
rnacentral:rRNA from 1 species